CCUCGUGUUUCCGGCCACCAAUCCUCACCAAACUUCAUCCUUGAGCUCACCUCAACCUCCAGAAGCUCUCAAAAGUGUCCCUUCACGGUGGCGCUGUGCGUGGUGGCGGUUGGAAGCCAGACCCGAUCAAAAAUCGAAACCGAGCUUUCGACCCGGAUACCUCAAGCUAUAGACCACCAAUUCUUGUGAUUCUUGACCUGAAAGGAUAGCCUUGAGUUUCUGAACAAAUAUCCAGAAGGAAUCGAAGCGAUUUGUGGAAGUUUUUACGUAGAUCGGAGCACCUGCCGGAUUCUGGAAUUUUUCCGGCCACCGAAACUUUCGAUCAAGAUAUCUCGAGCUAUAGAGCUUAGUUUUGAGUGAUUCUUGAACCAGUGAGUUCGUCUUUAAGUUCUGAACAAGUCUCCUGAAGGAAUCGAAGCGAAAGGAGGACAUUUUUACGUUGAUCGGAGCUUCGCCGGUUUCUGCAAAUUCUCACCGGUUUCUGGAAAAAAAUUCCGGCCACCUCGACUGUUUUAGGUGAUUGACGGUCUUCCUUGGGUGAGCGGUUUCGGUGUGUAUUGUGUUGAAUUGAAGACGCAGCGGGAAUAUCGAGCGGGUAAUCCUGCAGGUCAGGAGAAUCAGGGCGGUGAUCGAGCGGGUUAGAGUAUUUGUUAUAGUUUUACAGCAUUUGUAAUAGUGAGGUGAGUUAAGCUCAUUGAGCCUUACAAUUUGAUUUGGUGAGAGUGUGUUGUAAUAAAUAACUUGAGGAUUUGAUUUAUUGUAAUAUUGAGAGGUGUGAAGUGUGGUUGUUUGUGAGAAAAAAAUUCAGGACGUUAAUUGUAAUUGUUAUUAUUCAUGUUUCGGAUUUGAAUUGAUUAUUCAAAAUUCGGGGCGUGACAGUUUGGUA